UGUGCGCGGGUAAGUCUUAUACGACCAGCUCCUGCUGAACCUCCCCAGGGCAGGAAUGCAGCAAGGAUAAGCGGUUGUAGCGGUGCGAUGUGAGUAGCCUGCCAUAUU
rfam:Sphingobacteriia bacterium RIFOXYD2_FTLL_35_12 rifoxyd2_full_scaffold_87, whole genome shotgun sequence.